GGAUGGCAGCUGCUUAACAUGCAGUCGACGGCAGCACGGGUGCUUGCACCUGGUGGCGAGUGGCGAACGGGUGAGUAAUACAUCGGAACAUGUCCUGUAGUGGGGGAUAGCCCGGCGAAAGCCGGAUUAAUACCGCAUACGAUCUACGGAUGAAAGCGGGGGACCUUCGGGCCUCGCGCUAUAGGGUUGGCCGAUGGCUGAUUAGCUAGUUGGUGGGGUAAAGGCCUACCAAGGCGACGAUCAGUAGCUGGUCUGAGAGGACGACCAGCCACACUGGGACUGAGACACGGCCCAGACUCCUACGGGAGGCAGCAGUGGGGAAUUUUGGACAAUGGGCGAAAGCCUGAUCCAGCAAUGCCGCGUGUGUGAAGAAGGCCUUCGGGUUGUAAAGCACUUUUGUCCGGAAAGAAAUCCUUGGCUCUAAUACAGUCGGGGGAUGACGGUACCGGAAGAAUAAGCACCGGCUAACUACGUGCCAGCAGCCGCGGUAAUACGUAGGGUGCAAGCGUUAAUCGGAAUUACUGGGCGUAAAGCGUGCGCAGGCGGUUUGCUAAGACCGAU
rnacentral:rRNA from 1 species